rnacentral:rRNA from 1 species
CUGUAAGCCUGUGAAGGUGUGUCGUGAGGCAUGCUGGAGGUAUCAGAAGUGCGAAUGCUGACAUAAGUAACGAUAAAGCGGGUGAAAAGCCCGCUCGCCGGAAGACCAAGGGUUCCUGUCCAACGUUAAUCGGGGCAGGGUGAGUCGACCCCUAAGGCGAGGCCGAAAGGCGUAGUCGAUGGGAAACGGGUUAAUAUUCCCGUACUUGGUGUUACUGCGAAGGGGGGACGGAGAAGGCUAUGUUGGCCGGGCGACGGUUGUCCCGGUUUAAGCGUGUAGGUGUGUGUUCCAGGUAAAUCCGGUUCACUUUAACACUGAGGCGUGACGACGAGGCACUACGGUGCUGAAGCAACAAAUGCCCUGCUUCCAGGAAAAGCCUCUAAGCAUCAGGUAACAUCAAAUCGUACCCCAAACCGACACAGGUGGUCAGGUAGAGAAUACCAAGGCGCUUGAGAGAACUCGGGUGAAGGAACUAGGCAAAAUGGUGCCGUAACUUCGGGAGAAGGCACGCUGACACGUAGGUGAAGUGAUUUACUCAUGGAGCUGAAGUCAGUCGAAGAUACCAGCUGGCUGCAACUGUUUAUUAAAAACACAGCACUGUGCAAACACGAAAGUGGACGUAUACGGUGUGACGCCUGCCCGGUGCCGGAAGGUUAAUUGAUGGGGUCAGCGCAAGCGAAGCUCCUGAUCGAAGCCCCGGUAAACGGCGGCCGUAACUAUAACGGUCCUAAGGUAGCGAAAUUCCUUGUCGGGUAAGUUCCGACCUGCACGAAUGGCGUAAUGAUGGCCAGGCUGUCUCCACCCGAGACUCAGUGAAAUUGAACUCGCUGUGAAGAUGCAGUGUACCCGCGGCAAGACGGAAAGACCCCGUGAACCUUUACUAUAGCUUGACACUGAACAUUGAGCCUUGAUGUGUAGGAUAGGUGGGAGGCUUUGAAGUGUGGACGCCAGUCUGCAUGGAGCCGACCUUGAAAUACCACCCUUUAAUGUUUGAUGUUCUAACGUGGACCCGUUACCCGGGUUGCGGACAGUGUCUGGUGGGUAGUUUGACUGGGGCGGUCUCCUCCUAAAGAGUAACGGAGGAGCACGAAGGUUGGCUAAUCCUGGUCGGACAUCAGGAGGUUAGUGCAAUGGCAUAAGCCAGCUUGACUGCGAGCGUGACGGCGCGAGCAGGUGCGAAAGCAGGUCAUAGUGAUCCGGUGGUUCUGAAUGGAAGGGCCAUCGCUCAACGGAUAAAAGGUACUCCGGGGAUAACAGGCUGAUACCGCCCAAGAGUUCAUAUCGACGGCGGUGUUUGGCACCUCGAUGUCGGCUCAUCACAUCCUGGGGCUGAAGUAGGUCCCAAGGGUAUGGCUGUUCGCCAUUUAAAGUGGUACGCGAGCUGGGUUUAGAACGUCGUGAGACAGUUCGGUCCCUAUCUGCCGUGGGCGCUGGAGAACUGAGGGGGGCUGCUCCUAGUACGAGAGGACCGGAGUGGACGCAUCACUGGUGUUCGGGUUGUCAUGCCAAUGGCACUGCCCGGUAGCUAAAUGCGGAAGAGAUAAGUGCUGAAAGCAUCUAAGCACGAAACUUGCCCCGAGAUGAGUUCUCCCUGAGACUUUAGGUCUCCUGAAGGAACGUUGAAGACGACGACGUUGAUAGGCCGGGUGUGUAAGCGCAGCGAUGCGUUGAGCUAACCGGUACUAAUGAACCGUGAGGCUUAACCUUACAACGCCGAAG